rnacentral:lncRNA from 1 species
UGCUCUCACUCUGACACAGUCAACUGCUUUGAAGCAAUACCAUGAUGAGACCAGAUCUAAUAGGAAAAGAGAGUUGAUGACCAGUGUCCAUUCCCAUAUUCUCUUAUUAACAUUCUUAUUCCCAUGCUGGCCACGGAAAUUUUACAUUUUACAAUUUAUUUUAUCUUGAAAUUAUAAAGAUUUGGAGGGGGUAGCUUAGGUAUGUUCUUUCUCGACAGUGCCCAGAAUUAUCAGUAAAGAUAGAGAAAUCUGCUCUUAGUUCUAUUCCACCCAGGUCACUGGUGAGUGGCCGACCUUGACCUCACACACACCAUCUGGCUCUAAAUAUGGCAUCCUAAUGUAUCACUGGAAAGGGUGUUCAAUGGCUAAAACCAUGUAAAUAGAAAGCAUAUUGCUAAUAUGAAUGUUUUAUUUUAAAGUAGCAAAUCUGUGGGGUAGUAAGAGCUAAGAACCAAGUUAGGCACUUAUGUUUGCCAGUUGAGAAUUCUGUCAAUAGCAUACAUGGCCUUUCUCUCAAGAGAAGACUCCACUAUUUGUGAUGUGAGGUGGCACACACAUGAGGCAGAAGUCUAUAGAAAGCCACUUGAUCUUCCUGAACAAAAUCAGACAGAGAUAAAUCCAAUUCAGACUAAAAUGCAUCAUUUAUUGAAUGUCAUCACUAUUUUGCUGUUUACUCAUUCAAUCAACUCUAGAUGAAUAUCUCCCUCUUCCAUGCCAACCACACAAGGGUUCAGUUCUCUUCCCUGACAAGGACAGAUUCAGCUCUUAGCCUCAUGAAGCCUUCUGACACUCUUGGCUGGCUGCACCAUUUAUGGGAAGCUGAAGAUAUUUGUUGUUACUGCAAAAAGGUCACCUAUCAG